rnacentral:rRNA from 2 species
UAAAGUUGUUGCGGUUAAAAAGCUCGUAGUCGGAGGUGUGUCUCGGACGGUCGGUUCGCCGCUUGUCGGUGCUCAACUGGCCGGUCCGGACGUCCUGCCGGUGGGGCCGCGAGGCUCCGUUAUCCUUCUUUGGUCCUCUUCACCGAGUGCCUUGGUGGGCCGGCACGUUUACUUUGAACAAAUUAGAGUGCUCAAAGCAGGCCGUUGGUCGCCUGAAUACUGUGUGCAUGGAAUAAUGGAAUAGGACCUCGGUUCCAUUUUGUUGGUUUUCAGAACUCGAGGUAAUGAUUAAUAGGGACGGACGGGGGCAUUCGUAUUGCGACGUUAGAGGUGAAAUUCUUGGAUCGUCGCAAGACGAACCGAUGCGAAAGCAUUUGCCAAGAACGUUUUCGUUGAUCAAGAACGAAAGUUAGAGGUUCGAAGGCGAUCAGAUACCGCCCUAGUUCUAACCAUAAACGAUGCCAGCUAGCCAUCCGCCGAAGUUCCUUCUAUGACUCGGCGGGCAGCUUCCGGGAAACCAAAGCUCUUGGGUUCCGGGGGAAGUAUGGUUGCAAAGCUCAAACUUAAAGGAAUUGACGGAA